rnacentral:rRNA from 1 species
CCUGCAGGAAAGGACAUCAACCGAGACUCCGCAAGUAGUGGCGAGCGAACGCGGACCAGGCCAGUGGCAAUGAGGAAUGAAGUGGAACGGUUUGGAAAGGCCGGCCGCAGCGGGUGACAGCCCCGUACACGUAGAACACUCAUUGUCCUUGAGUAGGGCGGGACACGAGAAAUCCUGUCUGAACAUGGGGAGACCACUCUCCAAGCCUAAGUACUCGUGCAUGACCGAUAGCGAACAAGUACCGUGAGGGAAAGGUGAAAAGCACCCCGACAAGGGGAGUGAAAUAGAACCUGAAACCGGAUGCCUACAAACAGUCGGAGCCCGUAAGGGUGACGGCGUACCUUUUGUAUAAUGGGUCAACGACUUAGUGUGACAUGCAAGCUUAAGCCGGUAGGUGGAGGCGUAGCGAAAGCGAGUCUGAAGAGGGCGCCUUAGUAUGUCGCAUUAGACCCGAAACCGAGUGAUCUAGCCAUGAGCAGGUUGAAGGUUGGGUAACACCAACUGGAGGACCGAACCCGCAUCUGUUGCAAUAGAUUGGGAUGACUUGUGGCUAGGGGUGAAAGGCCAAUCAAACUCGGAAAUAGCUGGUUCUCCGCGAAAUCUAUUUAGGUAGAGCGUCGACCGAAUACCCCCGGGGGUAGAGCACUGGAUGGGCUAUGGGGACUCACCGUCUUACUGAUCCUAACCAAACUCCGAAUACCGGGGAGUACUAGUCGGCAGACACACGGCGGGUGCUAACGUCCGUCGUGAAGAGGGCAACAACCCUGACCUCCAGCUAAGGUCCCCAAGUCAUGGCUAAGUGGGAAAGGAUGUGAGGAUCCCAAAACAACCAGGAUGUUGGCUUAGAAGCAGCCAUCAUUUAAAGAAAGCGUAACAGCUCACUGGUCUAAACAAGGGUCUUUGCGCCGAAAAUGUAACGGGGCUGAAGCCAUGCACCGAAGCUGAGGAUACGUCGCAAGACGUGUGGUAGCGGAGCGUUCCGUAAGCCUGUGAAGGGAUACCCGUGAGGGGUCCUGGAGGUAUCGGAAGUGCGAAUGUUGACAUGAGUAACGAUAAAGAGGGUGAGAGACCCUCUCGCCGAAAGACCAAGGGUUCCUGCUUAAAGUUAAUCUGAGCAGGGUUAGCCGGCCCCUAAGACGAGGCGGACACGCGUAGUCGAUGGGAACCACGUUAAUAUUCGUGGGCCUGGUGGUAGUGACGGAUCGCUUAACUUGUCCGGACUUAUUGGAUUGUCCUGGCUUGGACGCGGUCCCGGGAAAUAGCUCCACCGUAUAGACCGUACCCGAAACCGACACAGGUGGUCAGGUAGAGUAUACCAAGGCGCUUGAGAGAACUGCGUUGAAGGAACUCGGCAAAUUGCACGCGUAACUUCGGAAGAAGCGUGACCCUUUUGUACGCAAGUAUGAUGGGGUGGCACAGACCAGGGGGUAGCGACUGUUUAUCAAAAACACAGGGCUCUGCGAAGUCGCAAGACGACGUAUAGGGUCUGACGCCUGCCCGGUGCUGGAAGGUUAAGAGGAGGGGUGCAAGCUCUGAAUCGAAGCCCCAGUAAACGGCGGCCGUAACUAUAACGGUCCUAAGGUAGCGAAAUUCCUUGUCGGGUAAGUUCCGACCUGCACGAAUGGCGUAACGACUUCCCCGCUGUCUCCAACGCAGACUCAGUGAAAUUGAAUUCCCCGUGAAGAUGCGGGGUUCCUGCGGUCAGACGGAAAGACCCCGUGCACCUUUACUAUAGCUUUACACUGGCAUUCGUGUCGGCAUGUGUAGGAUAGGUGGUAGGCUUUGAAGCAGGGACGCCAGUUCCUGUGGAGCCACCCUUGAAAUACCACCCUUAUCGUCAUGGAUGUCUAACCGCGGUCCGUCAUCCGGAUCCGGGACAGUGUAU